rnacentral:rRNA from 1 species
GGAGGUUGCAAGCGUUGUUCGGAAUGACUGGGCGUAAAGCGGGCGCAGGCGGCUUGGUCAGUCUGGAGUGAAAGCCCGGGGCUCAACCUCGGAAUAGCUUUGGAUACUGUUAGGCUUGAGUGCGUGAGAGGAGAGUGGAAUUCCUGGUGUAGCGGUGAAAUGCGCAGAUAUCAGGAGGAACACCAAUGGCGAAAGCAGCUCUCUGGCACGUUACUGACGCUGAGGCCCGAAAGCGUGGGGAGCGAACAGGAUUAGAUACCCUGGUAGUCCACGCCCGUAAACGUUGUGCACUAGGUGUAGGAGGUGUCGACCCCUUCUGUGCCGCAGCUAACGCAUUAAGUGCACCGCCUGGGGAGUACGCUCGCAAGAGUG